rnacentral:misc_RNA from 1 species
AGAGACGCGAAGAGGGCUGCUUAAAGGCAGUCAGCGAGCGAGUGCAGCUGCACGGCGCGCACUCCUCUCGCGUCGCGAAGCGCGGCAACUCCGAACUUGGAUCGCGCGCGCGGCGCUGGACGACUGCGAGAGGUGCACACGACUAUAUACACGACUAUAUAGAGUCGCUCUCUCGCACUCUCUGCGCGGUACAUAUAGUGGCGGAGAGCCGGCUCGCGGAUAGCCAGUAGUCGGUUGGCACUCCGGCAGCGAGCAGCAACGGGAGCGAGCGACUACAUUACAUAGGCAGCAGCACAAAAGCAGCAGGAAGAAAGAGAGCGGGGAGAGCCCUCGACGAGAGUCGGCAAUCGUUGGCUAUAAGCAGAGGAGUGCGCGCGUGGUAGUAAAAUACAUGCCAGUGUCAGUUGUGUUGUUGCCUUGUUGCGAGUAGUGACUCAGUGCGGUAUCUCUCUAGCUCUCUUUUACUCUCUCGUACUCUUCAGCUCAGCUGCGACCAUGAUCCUGACCUAGUGCACGGUGCGAAAAUUUUUGCAAACCUCGUUGCCGCCGUGGAUGUAUAGAGAGAUGACGACGAUUGGCCGGAUGAGCGAGCUCGGCCCUCACACUCAGCCGUUGUAGUCACGUCGCGCGCACGCACAGGAAGAAGAUCGAGUCGAAGAAUAUAUAGUCGACGAAUGCGGCAUUCGGGCGCUUGGGUCGAGCUGGAGGAAGCAUCAUUAUGCCCUCGAAGAAGCAGUAUAAUCUCGUGCAGAAUGACGAAAACGACACGCGCAUCCCGCUGCACAGCGACGAGGCAUUCCAUCGUGGCAUCGUUUUUCACGCCAAGUUCAUUGGCUCGCUGGAAGUGCCACGACCGACCAACAGGCUCGAGAUCGUCGCAGCGAUGCGUCGAAUUCGCUACGAGUUCAAGGCCAAGGGAAUCAAGAAGAAGAAAGUCACGCUCGAGGUAUCCGUCGACGGCCUCAAGGUCACAUUAAGAAAGAAAAAGUUUCCGGUGCUGCAGAAGAAGGAACACAAGACCGACGAGAGCAAGCUGGUAUUGAUGCAGCACCCGAUCUACAGGAUAUUCUACGUUUCGCACGACAGUCACGACUUGAAGAUCUUCAGUUACAUCGCCCGCGACGGCAGCGACAAUUCCUUCAGGUGCAACGUCUUCAAGUCGAGCAAAAAGAGCCAAGCGUUAAGAGUCGUGAGGACGGUCGGCCAGGCCUUCGAAGUGUGCCAUAAGCUCAGCAUCAACGGGCCUCCGAACAGCAACGAGCAGCAGCACCAGACCGACGACAGUCUGGACGACGGUGAAUACAGGGACGAGAACUGCGAUCUCAUACAGACCCAGUCAUCUCCUAACUCGCUACACAAAGAUAUCUCGUUGCUCGGAGACGAGCUGAAUGAAUCGAUCUUGGAUCAACCAUGCCCGAUGCGACCUCUGCAGCAGCAGCCGCAGCAGCAAAGCCACCAAGAGAUAGCGGGACUAACGACUGCUGAUUUAGUCUCUACGAGCAGCCACGCAACGACGACGAUGACUGCUGCUUUAGUGACACCGGCCUCACUUUUCGGACAGACGCCUUUGACUCCGAAAUUAUCCGAGCAAGCAGUCAACGCCGAGCUGACAACUCUGAGGCACGAGAUUCAGCUGCUUCGUGAGCGUCUGGAGCAGCAGAGUCAACAAACUCGAGAAGCCGUGGCGCACGCUCGACUCCUUCAAGAUCAAUUAUCAGCGGAAACCGCAGCUAGAGUCGAGGCUCAGUCCCGAACGCAUCAACUGUUGAUGCACAACAAAAAACUGCUCGAGCACAUCACGAGCCUGGUAUCGCAUCUACGCGAGCAGGAGCAAAUGGCCGGCGUCCAGCAGUUGAUGCCGGGUGUCGUGACGUCGAGCCAGGGACAGACACCGAAUCCACUGCCGGACAUCGCCGGUCUCGGACAGCUGCAGCGUGACAAUUGCAAAUUAUGACAACAGGUCUUUCCUCGAGAUUUUGGAGUUUGUGCUACUAACACUUACUAGUUAUGUCCGGUCACAGCAGCAGCAGUGUGGAGCGCGCCGGCAGUUUGUACUUUG